rnacentral:misc_RNA from 1 species
AGCAAGGUACAAAUGAAGUCAGCUGUAGGUUCUAAAAUGGCGAUCAACAAAGAGAAUUGACAAGAUUUUUUAUAAAUUUUCCUCGUAAUUCCUUAAGAAUGUGUCAAAGUUAACAAUAAACAGUGAAAAAACAAAGGAGUGUAGGAUGACGGUGUGUCCUGUGUGCAGGGUUGAGGUUGUUAAUCUCGUCUCACAUAUUGAGAUUCACACUAAAUCCGAUAUUGUCGGUGCUCUCAUCAACCAGGAGACACAGAGAUGUCUGGGAUCAAAUUCAUUAGAUGCAGCCCUGGAUAUCCAAGCUCCAGGUGGGUCGGAGAGUAGAGAAGAUGGAGAGGAUAAUCAUAAUGGACCAAUACAUAUUCAGAGAACCCUGAACAACUUUAGUAUUAUUAAUAACAUUAAUCCUCAGUUUAUUCCUCCAUCAUCAACUCUAGUGUCAGGAACCUCAAGCUUUGCCCAACAAUCCUCAUCCAAUAUCCUUCAUCAUGAAAACUCAAAUUUAAUUCAACCCGGAUCCUCCAGUGUGGAAUCAGCUGGAACAUCUGGUAUCCUUCUCCCUGGAACCUCGAAUAUAAUCCAACCAGGGAACCUUAAACCUGCGUUCCAACCAUCUGUAAUGGUUCCCUCAAUGAUUGGAAACCAUAUGGUUUGUGGUGGAAUACUGCCGGUAAAUGUGAUGGGUAGUUUAUCUAGUACUCCUCUACUUUUCCCUCAGGUGAAUGGUCCUACACUUCUGAUCAAUGUACCCAGCUACUUCUCCUACCAGGGGAUCCAGGGCAUGCCGGGGAUGAUGGUGCCAAGCUUCUACGGAAACCAGAUCGCCACAGCCAACAGCAACACAUCCUUAUCCUAUGUCGUUGUUCCGUCGUCCACUACAACAACAGCUGUUUUGUCUGAAGUAAAAGUAUCAUCUGCCCAGGACAGUUCUCCUGCUGUAACUGCGUCUGUGUCAAGUGCUGUAACAGCACCAGUUGUUACUCCAAUGGAAGUUGAGGAAGACGAGGAUCCUGUUGAAGAUACUUCUGAUGAUCUUUCCGACGAAGGAGAAAAUGAAGAGGAUGGCAGUGAACCUGUAAAAGUAGGAAAUGUUCGACCAACCACUGUACGAUCCCCUUCUCCCAUCCCUGGUCCUAGCGAUAUCACAUCUAAGGUUACUAUUCUCUCUUCAAUUCUAGCCAAGAACCUUUCUCCAGAGAAGAGUAAAGAUACCAAACAAGAAACAAGUAUUCAACAAUCUGUAAUUAGUCACAUGGAUUCCUCUAGGCUGUUUAGAACUGGAAAAGACGUCCCUAUUAGCCAACCUUGGUCCGUGAGCUCGGUUCAGGAUAGUCUGCUACCUAGAGCUGAACUCCAAGAAAGGAUACCACCCGUAGAAGACGAGGACGAGGAGAAAGAGAAAUUAAAUCAAGAGAAAACUGAACUUCCUCAACUUAAUAUAAACUUUCAAGAUAUGUUUCCAGCACAUCUUUCUGGACCUUCAUCCAGUUCUGGUAGAGCUAGACCGGCAACAUCAUCUGUGAUAGUUAGUCUUAAUUCUGUGUCAGAACAGUCAGAACCUAUUCCAGGUAAACCCUUAUCUCCAGGUGGUCCAACUACCAUAAAUACAGUUGAAGCUCUCCACUCUGCUCUAGCUUGUGAUUCUGAUGUUCAGUUGGUUGUAUCCAACCAGCUCAUGGAGACACCGGAGUUCAAGGCGUUGAUGCAGGAUAUGGAGCAUUCAUCCAUCCUGGACCAAACCUCGGUCCCCGCCUCCUCUGUACGCACUCCAGUAGAGAACCCUGACCUAGAUUUCACUAGCCACGAGAGUGUGAGCACAAGCUUUUCCUCGGAGUCAACCAGAGAUCAAUUCGAUCAUCCUCAACACAUCCUUUCAUUCCCACCUCCAUCAGAGGACGAUUUAACCCUUCAGGAUCUGAUUGCAGUUGAGACGAUUGACGAAUCUCGAAUGCCCGAGGACGACGAUAUCUCCUGGACUGGUCAACUGUCCGCCGACUCAUUUCAGUAUAUUUCUAAUAUUAUUGAAAACAAUAAACCCGACGAAUUGUUUAAAUGUGACAAAUGUGGACUCCACUACGGAUCCCUGUGCGAGUACAAGGAUCACUCUGUUGUGUGUCAUGUUUACAGGAAGGAUAUGAUAACCAAGACUAAGAAACAAACCAUGUUCCCUGAUCUCCGGAUUCCUCCAAGUUCAACUAUAACUAGCAGAGCACAAACCUUCUAUACCCAUGUAAAGCUUGAGCCCCCAGAGCACUUUAGAUUAGUCAAAUCCGAGCUUACAGUAGCAAACCAGGAUCCUCUAGCUGCUUCAACAAAUCAUUGGAAAUGCGCCCAAUGUAAGAACGUUUUUGACUCUGGACCAAGUCUACUCAGACACCUGGAUGAAAUCAAGGCAGCUAAGAUCAAGUGUCUGAGCUGUCACAAGGUGUUCCUGGAGAAAGAUGCUCUCGUAGAGCACAGUAAUCUAGCACACCCUAAGAAGUUGGUUAAGCUGAAGAGGGACCCGGAGCAGAGUAUUGAUGAUUAUCUGAAAAAUCUUCUUCCAAACGAGAUGGGAGAGUUCUCUUGUGAUAGGUGUGAUCGAGCGUUUGGAGAAAAGAGCAUGUUGCUUAAACACAUGACUUGCCACUUCAAUGCUAAACCUUUUGAAUGUUUAGAAUGCGGGAAAAGAUUUGCAAAACUAACCUUGAUGAAAGAACACACAAAAAGGCAUUUUGAACCCAAGAAGUACGCAUGCUUGUAUUGUGAGAAAACGUUCUUUGUUCCCGGAAAGUUGAAAGAACACAUGAGAAUUCAUACUGGCGAAGCCCCAUUGAAGUGUGAUAUAUGCAGCCGAGGAUUUAAACGUCACAGUAAUUUGUCAGAGCACAAAAGAACCCACUACCCGAGCGAGGUGAAACCUGCGAAGGAGUUGUUCUGUCCAACCUGCGGAGAGCAGUUUAAAACUAAAAGAGAACUAGACUGGCACGUGGAGGAGGUUCAUGAAAGGGUUCCGAAGAAAUGUCGGUUUUGUGGAGAUUGUUUUGUUCACUCUAGUUCCCUUACUCGGCAUAUCAGAUUGAAACAUGAAAAUAAUUUCCGCCCUGAAAAGAAGAAUGCGAGCCUGUACUCCAACUGUCCCAUUUGUGAUCUGGUUUUUAACAAGACCUCAAUUAACAAACAUAUCAGAGUGGUUCAUCGGCAUGAGAGAAAUUUUCCUUGUGAGAUUUGUAAGAAACUGUUCGUCUCUAAGAGUAAUCUGGAAAGUCACAUGUGGCAGCAUAAAAACAAACGACAGAGACCGUUCAAGUGUACACAAUGCAAUAAGGCAUUUUUACGGAACAAUCAGUUGGUUGCUCAUCAGAGAACCCAUCAGGGGAUCAAACCAUUUGUAUGUAACGAGUGCGGGGUUCAGUUCACCAUGAAAACUAAUUAUAAACGACAUGUGGAGGAGCAUUCAGGCACCAGAAAUUUCUCCUGUACAGUUUGUACUAAAACGUUUACUAGAAGUUACUAUCUAACAGAUCACAUGAAGGUUCACAGCGGGGAAAAGCCCUACAUCUGUGGUAUCUGUGGUAAAACUGCGGCAACAAGAUCAAACUACAACAGCCAUCUGAAGACCCACGCUACCAGGGAACCUGUUAACUCUGAGGUUUAAAUCAAUCAAUCAAUCAAUCCACAAUAAUUGACAAUAAAGUGAUACUGGCUCCGACGCGAAUACUAAAUGAAUUUGAAACAAUGUGAAAAGUAUUCGUGAGAAGGAUUUGAUCUCUAUUCUCUAGUUGUAAUUUAUUAUCAUCUACUAUGUUUAUGUUUAUGUACAGAUCCUCAUACACCAAAUUCAACCAUUUUGUGAUCAUGGAGAUAUGAGUUGUAAUGUAUAUUGUAUAGUUCAUCUCUUUAUCGACUAGUUAAUGUUAGAUUAAGAAUUUGUAUAAAUCCGUUGUAAUCAAUCCGCUUGAAGGGGGGGGGGGGGGUAUUUUGUCCAUUUUAAAAUCGUUGCAUGGAUUCAUGCAUUAAGACGAUAGGUACUACAUUAGACUUCUUGUUAUGAUCAGAGAACAUAUUUUUGAAGGAAAAUAUUGCAAAACCAAGCUGUUUAAAACCUUCCUUCGUAAUUCAUCAAUAUUUCUUUUUAAAUCAUUUCCCAGAAUUGAUUCGUGAUAAUCGAUAAUUCAUUAAUUCGGACAAUUAUUUAGAUUAUUUUAUUGCAAAAUACUUAUCCUUUGAGUUAAUUGCGAUUAUAAAUAUAGACUUAAAUUCUAUCAUUUUUGUAACUUUUAGACCUUAUUUUUGUCGAAUCUGCAUUUGUUUUUUAUUUUGUAAAUGUUUUUUAUUGUAACGGAUUUGAGGGAAUUUGAGAGGGGUUAUUUACAUGUUAAGCUAAAUUUCCAUUAGUUGUAAUUAACAAAUUGAAAUAAAUUUGUAAUGGAU